rnacentral:tRNA from 22 species
GGGCGCAUAGCUCAGUUGGUAGAGCAGCUGACUCUUAAUCAGCGGGUCCAAGGUUCGAAUCCUUGUGCGCCCACCA